GUUCGGUUAUUGGACUAAUGCUAGCAUUCCCGUUGUUCCUCAUCUUCAGUCCGGUUAUUGUACCAGCAGCCUUUGUGAUCGGUCUAGCUAUGACCGGAUUCCUGGCGUCAGGGGCCAUAGGUCUCACCGGACUAUCAUCCAUGUCGUGGGUACUCAACUACAUCCGCUGGGCCGGAGAGCAUAUUCCGGAGGAGCUUGAGGAAGCGAAGCAGCGUUUGGCUGACAUGGCUGAGUAUGUGGGACAGAGGACUAAAGAUGCUGGACAAACCAUAGAAGACAAAGCUCACGAUGUCCGAGAGACCAAGACUUUUGAUGUCAGAGACCGAGACACCACCAAGGGUACUCAUAAUGUCCGAGACACCAAGACUCACGAGGUCCGAGUGGCAUCCACAUAAAGCGUGUGUUCUGAGUUAACCAUGGUGAAUAAAAAAGAUCGACUGCUAGUUCUUGAU
rnacentral:lncRNA from 1 species